rnacentral:lncRNA from 1 species
UAUCUAAUCAUCAAUAAAAAUCAUAAUCAUUAGAUACAUCCAUCAAUUUUGCACAUCCAAAGCAUCAGAAACAAUCUACAUAACAGUUCUCAGCUUACAAGGAUAACCAUCAGUUUUGCAUAUCCAAAGCAAUACAAGCAAAGUACAUCAUAGUUCAUCUAAAGUCUUGCAACUACCAAAAUGCUACCUUGUUGCAAACACCACCUUUAGUUCUAAAGUCUUGCAACUAGCAAAAUGCUGCUUUGUUGCCAACACCAACAUUAAUUCUAAAGUCUGGCUCCAAGUCAACAAAAGGCACUACCAAGGUUACAACAACCAUCUAUGAUUCUAGGUCUCAGUUUCACGAAUGUUAUAACUAGUGUCGCCACCACCAGCACUAACAUUGUUGUCACUGGUAUUCCCACUGGAGUUGUCAGCACCACCAUUUGCACCCAGAUCAUCAUCACCAGUGUUGUCAUCGGUGGCUUGGGGUCUCAUAUGAGAUGAAUUAGGUGUCCCCUACAUCAUAGCAUUAAUUUAGACACCAGGAGAGCUUAUGGAGUAUUUUCUUUUAAAAGAAAAAUAGCAAAAUAAGUAGUAGUUAACUGUACAAUAAACUGGAUAUGUUCCUCAGUUGGUAAAGGAAUUGUUGAGACUGAAAAUAUACAAUAUUCUAAGUAUAUAUCUAGAUAUGAGGAUGUACAGUCCUGUAGCACAGGAAUGACACAAAGGUUAAAAUUAUUUCUUUAAAAUCUUCUCAUGGACUGGAUUGGCAUUGUAGCUUAGGGUUGCGUGUCAGUUUAAUAUAAUAUAAAAAAAUUAAUCGUGAGCAGGCCUAGUACAAGAAUAAUUUUUGCUGAUGGUUAAGAAAAUCGGGUUUGCACAGCAUUAACUUGUCACAGAACCUCAAGAAAAUCGGGUUUGCAUAGCAUUAACUUGGCACAGCAUUAAAUGGAUCCAACCACGCUGAGUGUAGGUUUGGGUGCACCAUGGUCCAGAAAAUCAUGUGUGUAUAGAUAUUCCAAUGAUUAAGAUACGAAGCUUUAAGAUAUCAAUGUUUCAAUUGGGAAAUCUAGUAUGCCGAGAAGGCUAUGUGCAAAAACUUACAUGUGGUUGGGAACUCGCUCCUUGGUGUAGCUCCAUUGGUAGUUCUUUUCCCAUCUCCUUAAAAAGGGCCUAUGAAAAAAAUAUGCAUCAUUAGAAUAGCUAGUUUUUUCAAUCACCAAUCUGAAAUAUGUGGACAAAUUUGAAAGUACCACUAGGAUCCGUUCAUGCAUAUCCACUUUAUGUUGCAGGUUCUCAUUAUGUCACUGCAGGUUCUCAUUAUGUCGCUUCAACUCUUCAUUUUCUUGAACAGUUCGUCGAUGUGCUGCUGAAGUUGACGGCCUCAAUUUCUUUUCUCUAGAUGUUGAGAUAACAUCAGCCUUCUUAAUCGCCCCAUCUGCUAUUGCUAGUCGCCCAUGGGGAAUGCCACCUAAUGAUUCAUAUAAUAUUUGCCCAUCCAACUCUCGCUGCUCCCAAUCAUCAGGAUGUGCGGCUCUAGCCAAAUCAGAGUAAUCAUCCUAGAAAACUAGCAAUAUUAACUUGUAUAGAUGCAUGUAGAACAAGUACUUAGUGAAAAGAAGAUAAGCAAGAACGUACAAAGCAUUUUUUUGCCUUCCCGCUGAGGGUCGUGCUGGUGCUACCACUGCCAUCCCAAUUCUUGAGUCCAGAUUUCAUUGCAGCAUAUGUAUUCAGCGUGGUAGCCUUCUCAGGUCCAUAUUUCUCAGCCUUCAAAACCAUAAAAAUUAAAUUAAUCCUAACCUGUUACAGUUUAUGAAAGAUAACAUACAUGCUUGACGCACCAGAAUUUGUCGAGCCUCCACAAAUGAAAGUGAACCUCCCCGAUUUUGAGCAACAUCUUCACUCUUGAAUCGGGAUUCCUACCCUCUCUUCCUUAAGGACUUGAACGUCUUUGAGCACCAAUAAGCACAAAGAUGAGGCCAUGCAUGUUCCUUAAACCAUGGUAUUCUGCACUCCAAGUAUUGGGCAUAUUCAAGUUCUUUUGAACAUGCCGAUGUGUCAUCAAGCCGCUCUCCUUGUUUCUCAAAGUAGAACUUCACAGCAUCCACACAAAGUUGAUACAUCGUGUCUCUCACUUUUUUCAUUGCGUAGUUGUCCAACACAAGAUCAGCAUCAUCCUCCACCUUGUCUAGAUCUUCAUCAUCUUUCACGUGGAUCUCAAACAAGUUCUACAAGUUUAUAGAUUUUCAUGUCAAAUAUGUAUGUGCAAUACAAAUUUUCAAAUUAACUCCCAAGUACCUGGAACUUACCCAAAAAACAUCCUUCACACGAUCUGCAGCAGCCUGCCCCUUAUCAUCUAGAGUAUCAUUAUCAUAAUAAUCAAACCACUCCAAAGCUGGGCGGGUUUUAAUGACAAUAUCACCUUCCUUCUUCUCAAUUAUCCCUGGGUGUUCUCGUUUAAGAAUGAUUCCAAGUUGCAUAUUAUACUUGUAGUGCUUGGAAUUUGGGUCAGCAUAUUUAAAUUUCCUAAACAACAAGAUAAGCACCAUUAACUAAGACGAUGAUAAUAUGAGUCAAGCAUAAAACUAACCAUGUGUUAAUAAACAACCAUACCUGUCACCUUCUGGCUUGUCCCACUUCCCAUAGUCCUUCAAUUUUAAGUGCAUCGAAGGACGGUUGCAAAUUUCAGCUAGAUCUUUUCUUGCCUUCACAUUAUCUUUAGUUUUAUCGGGAAUGUCAAAGCAUGUGUUAAAUAUAGCUUCAGCUGCAUUUCUUUCAUUGUGCAUCACAUCAAUGUUGUGUCGGAGCUUCAACUUUUUGAAGUAUGGAAGUUGCCAAAAGCAACUUAUGUGAGUCCAAUUGUGCAAUUUAUUGUAAUUGAAGGUGUCAUUCACAUGUGUGUACAUGUGAGUUUCCACUUCCUCUCCUGUUAAACACCUUGGUGGCCCUUCUAACACUAUUGUAUCCUUUCUAAAUGAAUUGGCUUGGAAUCUGAAUUCAUGAUCUGGAGGUAGAAAGUGCCUAUGACAAUCAAACCAGCAAGGCUUCCGCCCGUAUUGAAGAGUAAAUGCUUUGGAAUCACUCAUGCAUUCGGGGCAUGCUAGCUUGCCAUGGGUGCUCCACCCAGCAAACAUACCAAACGCAGGAAAGUCGUGGACUGACCAUAGAAAUGCCGCUUUCAUUGGGAAGUUUACCUUGUGAUAAGCAUCCCAUGUUUCAACCCCGUCCCACAAUUGCAUUAGUUCAUCAGCUAAAGGUUGCAUUAGGACACUCAAAUUUUUUCCAGGAUGUUCAGGACCAGGGAUAACAAGGCUAAGGAAUAUAUACUCUGGUUUCAAGAGAAUACCGGGUGGAAGGUUUAAUGGAGCUAUGAAAGUAGGCCAGCAAGUAUAUGGAGCAGCAUUCAACUUGUAUGGUGUAAAACCAUCACCAGCUAUGACAAGACGGACAUUUCUACGAUCUUCUGCAAAUUCUGAGAACUCCUUGUCAUACCCUUGCCAAGCUUCACCAUCAAUAGGGUGGACCAUCUUAUCAGAAUUGGAACGACUAUGCGACUGCAUAUGUUUUGCUAUUUCCUCAUGUGCAUACAACCUCUAUAAUCUAUCUUUCAGAGGGAGAUAUCUCAACACUUUACGUGGGACUUUAUUCUGGCCUUCCUCGUAGCGAGAUGUACCGCAGAUGUCACACUUCUCUUUAUGCUCAUUAUCUUUAUAGUACAACAUGCAAUUAUUUUUACAGACAUCAAUCUUGACAUAAGGCAUACCAAGGCCUUCUAAGAGUUUCUUAGAUUGGUAGAAGUCCUUGGACAAGUUAGCACCCGGAGGCAUAAGUUCAUGGAUGAUUUGUAACACAUCAUCAUAUUCUGCAAUUGACAUAUUAUACUGAGAUUUUAGUGCUAGCAAACGGGCUACUGCAGAAAGACGUGAGUGUGUUGUGUUCUCAUGGACAAUUUCAUCAGCACUGCUAACCAUCCUAUAGAAAGCCUUGGCAGAGGAGGUUGGUUCUUCAUCAAUUGGUGGAGGACAGUUGCCACCUAGGUCAACUAACAUAUUGUCCAUUCGGUCAAUUUCGUCGUGCCUCACACAAUUUGUGGCAGAGGAAGAUCCAUCUUGGCUAGGAACAUACUUCUCACCAUGUUCUAUCCACGUUUCAUAGUUUUCCCUAAACCCAUAUUUAUACAAGUGUUUCUCUACCUCAUCCCUGCCGCGCUUAUUAUAAUUAUGACACUUAGCACAUGGACACUUGAUUUUACCACAUUCGGCUACACCAGGACAAGAGAAUGCAUGGUCUAGAAAUCGGUUGGUUUGUUCAAGCCAUAAGUUAGAAGGUAUUUGACCAUACUGCCAACCACUAUACAUCCAUGCACAAUCUGCCAUCUAACAAAUUCUGUGUUGAAAGUGGAAUAUAUCAGCUAUUUGAUUAUUUAAUCUCAACACAUCAUACUUAAGAUGAGUUAUUCAGCAGCAGCAAUACAUGUGUAGCAAUUGGAAUCAAAUAGAUGUACACAUAAGAUAAACAUUUAAAGCUGAAAGUUAAAUGCUUACCAAAGGCUUGCUGAAAUAGUGAAAAAGUGUGGAGUCACCAAGCUGGCUAACAAACUCCCAAAGUCCACUAGCAGAUCCAAGAUCUAAGCCUAUUAUAGACAACAUAGCAAUUUAAGAGAGUUAGAAUAAGGAUGGUAGGAAAUGAAAAAGAAUUAUGCUCAAACAACAAUGGUAACAACAAAAUGUUGAAACCUUUGGUAAGCAUUAUAUUACAAAGAAACAAGAUAUGCAGUACUAUACAAUAUCCAUAACCAGAAAACAAGACAUGCAUAGGCUAUAUUUUAGAAAUCAGUCAAUUACUCAAGCAUGCAGUAACUAAAUACAAUGGCAAGGAAGAAAAGGUAAAAUAAUGAAAUAACAAGCUGCCUAUCAACAAAUCGAAAUAAUGAAUCGAACUGGUCAUUUCAUUUUACUUCCCAAGUGAAUUAGUACUAACUGUAUCAGUGCUAAAGUUGGAAGCUUGUGAUGUCAAUCUGCUGUAUUUCUUCAGAAAAGUAUUUUUUUACCUACAUGACCAAGCUAAGGCUAUUUUGCAAAAAUCUGCGAUGUCAGUUGACACCACAAAGAUGUGUGUAGACUCACCACUGCUACUGGAUUUCUGUCCUUGACAAAUCUACUACUGAUUUCUAGCAGUAGGAUGUGAACGAGAGAGAUCUACUAGCACAAGACAAGAGCAUGUAUAGUGGAGGAAGGGGCAGAAUGAAUUACGUACUGAGUUAAUAGCCAGCCAGUAGAGUGGAAACGCCCUGUGCUAGAUCCAAGCGAGCCUCACCACUUCCUGAACUAGGCAGAGGAUGAGAUGACUGAAAAAGGACACAUACAAAUCCAAUGAGGAACAUAAAGCACUUGCGUUUAGUGGAUAUGCACAAAGCCAGGGAAGUAAAUUGAAAGCAUUGGACAC